rnacentral:sRNA from 1 species
AAGAAAACAAAUAAAAGUCUAUUUGCGUUUUCUUUAUCAGAUAAUAACUCUUGAAACGCGCUUCUUAAACUAUUUAAUAAUUAAUUGUUUUUCUACUUUUGUACAGUAAAAGAUCUACAAAUUAAUAAUGUUUGUACCGUGAAAUUUUCUCAAU